GUGUCGCUAGAAGAAGCGCAGGCGCUGUCGCGACAGCUCAAAGUUCCGUACAUAGAGUGCAGCGCAAAAGCACGCAUGAACGUCGACCAAGCUUUCCACGAGCUGGUCCGCCUCGUGAGACGGUUCCAGGAAGCGGAGAGAAUAAACAUCAAAGCGGAGAGGAGUCACAAGAAGAAAAACUGCACGAUUUUGUAACAGGAGGAAGCAGAACUGUUGGUGAGGCUGCCUUGAUUUGUAGACUAACGCCCGUAUUCACAAACAUUACUAUGAGGUCUCACAGUGCGCGUGGACGCACAGAGUGACACACGAACCAAUAACAGAACUCUAUUUAACGCUGUACGUUCGAUUUGCUGCUUCACAUAAGCAGCAUCGUUUGUGAAUAUGGGCGUACAACAUUUUGAAGAUAAUUCAGUUUAAUGUCUCAAGAAAAUGUAAAAUUCGACAUCGUAUGCUAAUACCAAGUUACAGACAAAACUAUGAAAUCUAAAACAGCUAGGGACUGGAAUUCGCUGCCUCAAAGGCACUUACAGGGCAGAUAUGUACCAUCCUAGACUGCAUCCCACUUAACAUCAAGUGCGAUUGUGGUGAAAUAAAUUGUGAAGUAAAUAAACAAUGUUGAGUCGAGUUUUGACUGAAUUUGAUAUUAGAACCAUCACAAAUUACUGCAAUACUACAUGGUUAUGUUUGCCUGAGGAUGUUUUUUUAUAAUGUUUCAAUAAUCUGUAACGACAGUUGACAUAAGUAAGUAACUGUUUUUAGCUAUAUUUUUUGGAAACUAAGGAAUUAAAUAUUCCUAGCAUCUCUGUAAAACUGAAUGUGUUGUAAAUGAUUACGUUUUUAAAUCAAGGCAACCUUUCAAAGGUUGAAUGAAUGAAUUCCGCUCUAUUUUGUGAAUAAGAUACCUUGAAGUUAUUCAUUCAGCAUCAUAUUCCCGAUCGUAAUAUUUAUCACAAUAUUUAUUUUAGUUUUUUAAGUUUUAUUUUAAAUCUUUGAAAUGAACAAGGCUCCAAAAAAAACAAAUAAAUUCUUGUUUUUUUUUCGAUCACUGUUCGUGCAAAGAUGUCAUCAGAGUUCGUAUUUUUCUAUCUUUUUUUUCGUCUUAUUAUUAUUGGAUAAGGUAUUUAUUUUUAUUUUCUUUUUCCUAAGUUAUCCUAAGUUUAGUUCUUCUUAUUUCUUGUUGAUGACAAGCUGCGCAAAUAGGUCGUGUAAAAUAGAUUAUAAAUUAUUUUAUUUUAUAAAGCGAUUGUUGCUAUGUUUUCGUUUCUAGCACUUAUAAGUGGUGCCAUAUUCAAACUGUAAUUAACACCAAAUAGGCAUGAUUUUAUAAUCUUAUUGUUGUUUCUUCAACUUCCGAGUACAUAGAGUUUGGUCAUAUUAAAAACUCAAACUAUUCAGUUUUUGAUUAUUAAAUUAAUUAAUCAAAAGCAUUUUGAUGUUUGCCUCAUUGCAAUAUUAAGUACAAGAUCAUUAUUUGAAAAUACGUUUGAAUAAGUUACAAAAAAAUAAAUAAAUUAGAAUGUACUAAAAUGUAAAAGUAUGUACAAUUUACAUAAAUGUAUGUUAUUAACUGUACAAGAACAAUAUUAUAAUAAGUAACGGCGCGUUCUCGAUCAAAUCUAAGGAAUUCUAUGAAUGGAUAAUUCUUUAAUUUAAUUUAUUUAAACCCAGUAGUUAACCCCGAAAUACGUUUAAACAGUUUUUUUAAGUCUUAAAGUUCUCGGUCGCCCCGGUACUAAAAUUAGUGACGUCAUAAAAGCCUGGUAGCAGGAUCCAUAGGCAGCUCUUCGUAAAUUUAUCGGGUGAGCUGUCAAUGUUUUCAAAGUUCUGACGGUAAAAAUAAAAGUGGUUUGAUUUUUAAGAAAUUGAAAUAAUAUCGGAGAAUCAUCAAGAAAACCCUAUAACUUUAAUAUCACAUUUCUCUUCUUUCUUAAAAAAAUAUCUUGAUUUAUUAAAAGUCUAACUAAGAUGUGUAAAGAAUAAGAAGUGUAAAAACCAAAUACUAAUUUGUAUUUUUGUUUGAUAUUUUCUAAAAUUAGUUAAGCGUAAUAAUACUGUAACUUCGAAAUGGAUAAACAGUGUUUAGUCUACCAUAGACUACGAGAUUUAACUUAAAAAUACCAGUGCAGUGUACCCUAUACGGUACAGUACAGUUUGUGGAAUUUACAUGUGUUAAUACGCAUAAUAUUGGAUAUUUUAUAGCCUGUGUCAAUAGACUCAUCAUCAUCAAUAAGCAAAUGAAUUAUACUGUCUCAGUCAGUGGUAUGUAGAUUAUUUCACUGUGCAAUCAAAGACAAGUUUGAGCGCGUCACUAGGGGCAUAGACAAUUCAGUAUCAAUGUUCGGGAGAGAUUGAUUUUGUCUAUUGGCAUGGACUAUACAAUAUUGUAAUAACAUGGUAGGAAAUAUUUUUAUUAUGGUGCUGAAAAUUACGUUUUCAACUUGUCUUUGAAUAUUAUCAUAAUAUUUAUAACAAAAUAAUAAUAAAAAAAAAUAUCAUGUUUACACAGUUAUAAAUAUUAUAAUAAUGUAUAUUGUAGAUGUUAAAUAGUACAUUCAGAAAUCAGCCCAACGACCAAUGCAAAAUGAAUCUUAUGGAUUCCACAUAAGCUUGAUUUCGCAUGAUUAAUAUGCUAUAAGUAGGAAGGUGGUAAUUUUAGCAUAUUUAAACCAAUAAUCAUAAUUUAUUUUAUUAAUAUAUCUUUUUUUGUCAUUUAGGAGUACCUACAUACUGUAUUUAACAUAUUGCUAAAACUAUAUCAUAGUGAAAAAUGGACGGGCAACUUUACAUGUUAUUUUUUAGAAAGAGAUAUACUAUAUUAUAUUUUUAUAUCGUAGUAUUGGUUUGUACGCAUUUUUUGCUAAGCAGAAACAUUCGUUGGUGCACCCUUUUUGAUACAUGUUUACAAUUAUUUGAUAAAUUAGCUUUUAAAGUAAGCGAGAAGAUUAUAGUUUUAACAGCUUUAGAUAUUUCAUAUGUACAUACUGUUUUUUUUAAUAAACAUGCGAGUGUCAGCAACGUACGAUCACCAGGUACGUAUUCAUGAAUUAGGGAGUUUAUAUCUAUUAAUAUAGGGGUCAGAAUCGAUUGGAGACAUUGUUAUUUCGUGGUAGCUUGAUGCUUCCGCCUUCCAAAGUACCAAACACACCACUGUGUUUAGACUAGCUUGAUGUGCUGUCAUCCGUACAUUGAAAAUUAAACUUAUAGGUCAAGCAAAUAUCUGACUCAGUGUAUGAGGCAUGAGAGCAGCACGAGAGGGUUGACUUUGACAUAUUAUGACGUGACAGACAAAAUAAAAC